GGACUACCGGGGUUUCUAAUCCUGUUCGCUCCCCACGCUUUCGUGCCUCAGCGUCAAUAAUAGUUUAGCAGACUGCCUUCGCAAUCGGUGUUCUAUAACAUAUCUAAGCAUUUCACCGCUACAUGUUAUAUUCCAUCUGCCUCAGCUAUAUUCAAGAAAAUCAGUUUCAAUGGCAGUUCCACAGUUGAGCUGCGGGCUUUCACCACUGACUUAAUUUUCCGCCUACGCACCCUUUAAACCCAGUAAAUCCGGACAACGCUUGGAUCCUUCGUCUUACCGCGGCGGCUGGCAC
rnacentral:misc_RNA from 1 species